rnacentral:rRNA from 1 species
CUGGGGAGGACUGCCGGUGAUAAACCGGAGGAAGGCGGGGAUGACGUCAAGUCCUCAUGGCCCUUACAUCCCGGGCUACACACGUGCUACAAUGGCAGGUACAGAGGGCUGCGAAGCCGCGAGGUGGAGCGAAUCCCAGAAAACCUGUCUCAGUCCGGAUUGAAGUCUGCAACUCGACUUCAUGAAGGCGGAAUCGCUAGUAACCGCGAAUCAGCAGGUCGCGGUGAAUACGUUCCCGGGCCUU